AGUGGAAUAGCUAGGACAAAUGGUGGUUCCAUUCCAAGUUUUCUAAGGAAUCUCCAUACUGCUUUCCAGAUUGCCUGCACCAAUUUGCAGUCCCACCAGCAAU
rnacentral:pre_miRNA from 1 species